GAUGAACGCUGGCGGCGUGCUUAACACAUGCAAGUCGAACGGUGAAGGCGGAGCUUGCUCUGCUGGAUCAGUGGCGAACGGGUGAGUAACACGUGAGCAAUCUGCCCCUGACUCUGGGAUAAGCGCUGGAAACGGCGUCUAAUACUGGAUACGAGCUGCGAAGGCAUCUUCAGCAGCUGGAAAGAAUUUCGGUCAGGGAUGAGCUCGCGGCCUAUCAGCUUGUUGGUGGGGUAAUGGCUCACCAAGGCGUCGACGGGUAGCCGGCCUGAGAGGGUGACCGGCCACACUGGGACUGAGACACGGCCCAGACUCCUACGGGAGGCAGCAGUGGGGAAUAUUGCACAAUGGGCGGAAGCCUGAUGCAGCAACGCCGCGUGAGGGACGACGGCCCUCGGGUUGUAAACCUCUUUUAGCAGGGAAGAAGCGAAAGUGACGGUACCUGCAGAAAAAGCGCCGGCUAACUACGUG
rnacentral:rRNA from 1 species